AUUGAACGCUGGCGGCAGGCUUAACACAUGCAAGUCGAGCGGGGGAGGUUGCUUCGGUAACUGACCUAGCGGCGGACGGGUGAGUAAUGCUUAGGAAUCUGCCUAUUAGUGGGGGACAACAUUCCGAAAGGGAUGCUAAUACCGCAUACGCCCUACGGGGGAAAGCAGGGGAUCUUCGGACCUUGCGCUAAUAGAUGAGCCUAAGUCGGAUUAGCUAGUUGGUGGGGUAAAGGCCUACCAAGGCGACGAGCUGUAGCGGGUCUGGGAGGAUGAUCCGCCACACUAGGACUGAGACACGGCCCAGACUCCUACGGGAGGCAGCAGUGGGGAAUAUUGGACAAUGGGCGGAAGCCUGAUCCAGCCAUGCCGCGUGUGUGAAGAAGGCCUUUUGGUUGUAAAGCACUUUAAGCGAGGAGGAGGCUCUUAAGGUUAAUACCCUUGAUGAGUGGACGUUACUCGCAGAAUAAGCACCGGCUAACCCUGUGCCAGCCGCCGCAGUAAUAC
rnacentral:rRNA from 1 species